UACGGAGGGGGCUAGCGUUGUUCGGAAUUACGGGGCGUAAAGCGCACGUAGGCGGCUUUGUAAGUUAGAGGUGAAAGCCCGGGGCUCAACUCCGGAACUGCCUUUAAGACUGCAUCGCUAGAAUUGUGGAGAGGUGAGUGGAAUUCCGAGUGUAGAGGUGAAAUUCGUAGAUAUUCGGAAGAACACCAGUGGCGAAGGCGACUCACUGGACACAUAUUGACGCUGAGGUGCGAAAGCGUGGGGAGCGAACAGG
rnacentral:rRNA from 1 species